GUGUCCCCUCGUGGGCCGAACGGACGCGGCGGUGCCCCGCGCCCGACCAGACGUCCCGUGGGCUAGGGCCUGGGCCUCGGGCCGCGUCGGCGCCGGUCGAGCCUCUCCGGGUGUCGGGGUUCGGGGCGGGCGCGCGUGGGCGUGGCUCCUCUGUCCACGCCUGUUCCCUUCGUCGCCGCGGCUCUCGUCCGGGACACGGCUUUCCGGAGUAGAGCCCUUGGAGGUGUUAAGUGUGAUGCUUCCAUAAUACAUUUGGAUGCUGUCAGCUAAGUUCACUUCUGAACUAAGGGGUUCCUCCAAAUGUUGGCUGAAAUUCAUCCCAAGGCUGGUCUGCAAAGUCUGCAAUUCAUAAUGGAGCUACUGUACUGGCUAUUGGAAGGAGGAGAUUCUGAAGAUAAGGAGUUCUCUUGUAGGAUGCCACUGGAAAUGUUGAAAUGAAAAAUAUUCAGCCGUUGGUCUUUGAAAUUUCCUGUGAUGUGUUUCAAUCUAGAUGCAAAGAACAUGGAAAAAUCAAAGUGCUCGAGUGGUUUAAAUAUGUUUUGGGUAUUCCUGUUUAUAGACUAUAAUACUUUUCCAAUUAAAAUCCU
rnacentral:lncRNA from 1 species